UGCUAUUUGCUAGCGACCGGACGAGAGGCAGUGCAACUCGGUGAACCUGCUUGCUGGGCUGUACUGGAAUGAAAACUCGAGCCGCCUUAUAGCCACUAGACAAGUGGGUGCUGAGCGCUAUACAGUACGCUACCCGAAGUAUAAAGCAGGGGGCCAUGUGGUCAAGAAAAUCGCAACAGAGCCAACAUACCGUAACUGUAGAGGACACAAAACAUGUUACGUAGAAGAAUUGAUCAGGGAGGUUGUUGCUGGCUGCAGACAGACCCCUGACGAGAGAACAGGAGUCAGCGUCACCGUGGAUGUGUCUCCCUUCCUCUGCAAUGAACUGGAGAAGCCAGACAAGGAGGAAGCCAUCGCCAAGCACAGGAGUCGCUUCGCUAAGCGUUAACUACAGUGGCCAUGUGGAUUCUGUUGCAGUCACUGCACGUCUUGGAACCCCGUGUAGUCCAUCGAUGGAAAUGUUGUUCUAAUCUUAUGUACUACACAAGCUGGUAGUGCCACCCUUAUCUCCUUUCCCUUAUAUCCCCAGCAGAAGCGGACAAACUGUCGAUAUGCUUUAUAUCGUCCUACCUGGAAGCAGAGGUGGGUAGAGUAGCCAAAAACUGUAUUCAAGUAAGAGUACUGUUACUUUAGAGAUUUAUUACCCAAGUAAAAGUAAGGAGUAGUCACCCAAAUAUUUACUUGAUUAAAAGUAAAAAGUAUGUUGUGAAAAAACUACUCAAGUACUGAGUAACUGAUGAGUAACCUGAUUACGGCAACAAAUAAUGCACAAAAACAUAAAAAUAGCAAUGAGCAAAUUCAAAGCCAGGAAUAGCUCUUAAGCAACUAAAGCAAUAAUAUAUAUUAAAUAAUAAUACAUUAAAAUAAAAAAAUUAAGGCAAAUUGAGCCACAAUAACUUAACAGCACCAUAGGCUCAGUAGGCAUUCAUUGAUUGAUUGACUGAAACUUGUAUUAGUAGAUUGCACAGUACAGUACAUAUUCCGUACAAUUGACCACUAAAUGGUAACACCCCAAUAAGUUUUUCAACAUCAAUCAAUUAUUUAAUAAAUGACCAAGUCGAGGUGCUCUACCUCAUAUAUACAUACACACCAUGUAUCAUAUACAUACACACACAUAUCAUAUAUAUUAAUAUGUCCAGGGUGUACCCCGCCUUCCGCCCGAUUGUAGCUGAGAUAGGUGCCAGCGCCACCCGCGACCUCAAAAGGGAAUAAGCAGUAGGAAAUGA